UACCAGACUCCUACGGGAGGCAGCAGUGAGGAAUAUUGGUCAAUGGCCGUAAGGCUGAACCAGCCAAGUAGCGUGAGGGAAGACUGCCCUAUGGGUUGUAAACCUCUUUUAUGCGGGGAUAAAGGUGUCCACGUGUGGAUGUUUGCAGGUACCGCAUGAAUAAGGACCGGCUAAUUCCGUGCCAGCAGCCGCGGUAAUACGGAAGGUCCGGGCGUUAUCCGGAUUUAUUGGGUUUAAAGGGUGCGUAGGCGGACGGGAAAGUCAGCGGUAAAAUCGGGAGGCUCAACCUCUUUCCGCCGUUGAAACUGUCGGUCUUGAGUGGGCGAGAAGUAUGCGGAAUGCGUGGUGUAGCGGUGAAAUGCAUAGAUAUCACGCAGAACUCCGAUUGCGAAGGCAGCAUACCGGCGCCCGACUGACGCUGAGGCACGAAAGCGUGGGUAUCGAACAGGAUUAGAUACCCCCGUAUU
rnacentral:rRNA from 1 species